GCUCAGAUUGAACGCUGGCGGCAGGCCUAACACAUGCAAGUCGAGCGGCAGCGGAAAGUAGCUUGCUACUUUGCCGGCGAGCGGCGGACGGGUGAGUAAUGUCUGGGAAACUGCCUGAUGGAGGGGGAUAACUACUGGAAACGGUAGCUAAUACCGCAUGACCUCGAAAGAGCAAAGUGGGGGAUCUUCGGACCUCACGCCAUCGGAUGUGCCCAGAUGGGAUUAGCUAGUAGGUGAGGUAAUGGCUCACCUAGGCGACGAUCCCUAGCUGGUCUGAGAGGAUGACCAGCCACACUGGAACUGAGACACGGUCCAGACUCCUACGGGAGGCAGCAGUGGGGAAUAUUGCACAAUGGGCGCAAGCCUGAUGCAGCCAUGCCGCGUGUGUGAAGAAGGCCUUAGGGUUGUAAAGCACUUCAGCGAGGAGGAAGGCAUCACACUUAAUACGUGUGGUGAUUGACGUUACUCGCAGAAGAAGCACCGGCUAACUCCGUGC
rnacentral:rRNA from 1 species